GACGAACGCUGGCGGCGUGCUUAACACAUGCAAGUCGAACGAAGUGGCGAACGGGUGAGUAACGCGUAAUCAACCUGCCCUUCAGAGGGGGACAACAGUUGGAAACGACUGCUAAUACCGCAUACUGAAGGAGGGGAUUGCGUCUGAUUGGCUCGUUGGAGGGGUAACGGCCCACCAAGGCGCAGAUCAGUAGCUGGUCUGAGAGGAUGACCAGCCAAACUGGAACUGAGACACGGUCCAGAAUCCUACGGGAGGCAGCAGUGGGGAAUAUUGCAAAAUGGGCGCAAGCCUGAUGCAGCCAUGCCGCGUGAGUGAUGACGGCCUUCGGGUUGUAAAGCUCUGUUAAUCGGGACGCGGUACCGGAAUAGAAAGCCACGGCUAACUACGUGCCAGCAGCCGCGGUAAUUC
rnacentral:rRNA from 1 species